rnacentral:rRNA from 1 species
UUCGUCCUACGGGACGCAGCAGUGGGGAAUAUUGCACAAUGGGGGAAACCCUGAUGCAGCGACGCCGCGUGGGUGACGAAGUAUUUCGGUAUGUAAAGCCCUAUCAGCAGGGAAGAAGAUGACAGUACCUGACUAAGAAGCCCCGGCUAACUACGUGCCAGCAGCCGCGGUAAUACGAAGGGGGCAAGCGUUAUCCGGAUUUACUGGGUGUAAAGGGAGCGUAGGUGGCAUGGCAUGCCAGAAGUGAAAACCCGGGGCUUAACACCGCGGAUGGCUUUUGGAACUGUCAGGCUGGAGUGCAGGAG